GGGCUCAUAGGUAAAUGGCAUACCACACCCUUCGCAUGGGUGAAUUCCGGGUUCGACUCCCGGUGAGUCCA
rnacentral:tRNA from 1 species